rnacentral:rRNA from 1 species
AAGACCUUGCGCUUUUGGAGCGGCCGAUGCCUGAUUAGCUUGUUGGUAAGGUAAAAGCUUACCAAGGCUUCGAUCAGUAGCUGGUCUGAGAGGACGGCCAGCCACACUGGGACUGAGACACGGCCCAGACUCCUACGGGAGGCGGCAGUGGGGAAUUUUGGACAAUGGGGGCAACCCUGAUCCAGCCAUGCCGCGUGAGUGAAGAAGGCCUUCGGGUUGUAAAGCUCUUUCAGCCGGAACGAAACGGUUACGGUUAAUAUCCGUGACUACUGACGGUACCGGAAGAAGAAGCACCGGCUAACUACGUGCCAGCAGCCGCGGUAAUACGUAGGGUGCGAGCGUUAAUCGGAAUUACUGGGCGUAAAGCGUGCGCAGGUGGUUUUGUAAGUCAGAUGUGAAAGCCCCGGGCUCAACCUGGGAACU